rnacentral:rRNA from 1 species
AAUGGACGCAAGUCUGAUCCACCCAUGCCGCGUGGUGGAUGACGGCCUCUGGGUUGUAAACACCUUUUAUGUAGGGAUAACGAGGUUCUAUAGGAACCCUUGCAGGUACUACAUGAAUAAGCACCGGCUAACUACGUGCCAGCAGCCGCGGUAAUACGUAGGGUGCAAGCGUUGUCCGGAUUUAUUGGGUUUAAAGGGUGCGCAGGCGGCUUAUUAAGUUAGUGGUGAAAUCACCCGGCUCAACCGGGUACCCGCCAUUGAUACUGGUAAGCUUGAGUAUGUUCGAGGAGAUUGGAACGUGUAGUGUAGCGGUGAAAUGCAUAGAUAUUACGCAGAACACCAAUUGCGAAGGCAGAUCUCUGGGACAUAACUGACGCUGAGGCACGAAAGCGUGGGGAGCGAACAGGAUU